UACGUAGGGCGCAAGCGUUAUCCGGAAUUAUUGGGCGUAAAAGAGCUCGUAGGCGGUUUGUUGCGUCGGCUGUGAAAUCCCGAGGCUCAACCUCGGGUCUGCAGUCGAUACGAGCAAACUAGAGUGCGGUAGGGGAGAUUGGAAUUCCUGGUGUAGCGGUGGAAUGCGCAGAUAUCAGGAGGAACACCGAUGGCGAAGGCAGAUCUCUGGGCCGUGAACUGACGCUGAGGAGCGAAAGCUAGGGUAGCAAACGGG
rnacentral:rRNA from 1 species